rnacentral:rRNA from 1 species
CCCUUAGAUGUUCUGGGCCGCACGCGCGCUACACUGAUACAUUCAACGAGUAUACAACCUUGGCUGAAAGGCCUGGGUAAUCUUUUGAAACUGUAUCGUGAUGGGGAUAGAUUAUUGCAAUUUUUAAUCUUCAACGAGGAAUUCCUAGUAAACGCAAGUCAUCAGCUUGCAUUGAUUACGUCCCUGCCCUUUGUACACACCGCCCGUCGCUCCUACCGAUUGAAUGGUCCGGUGAAGCGUUCGGACCGUGGCUCUCUGACGGUUCGCCGUCGGAUUGCCGUGGGAAGUUCGUUAAACCUUAUCAUUUAGAGGAAGGAGAAGUCGUAACA